AGAGUUUGAUCCUGGCUCAGGACGAACGCUGGCGGCGUGCCUAAUACAUGCAAGUCGAACGAACCGCGACUAGGUGCUUGCACUUGGUCAAGGUGAGUGGCGAACGGGUGAGUAACACGUGGGUAACCUACCUCAUAGUGGGGGAUAACAGUCGGAAACGACUGCUAAUACCGCAUAGGACAUGGAAUCACAUGAUUCUGUGAGGAAAGGUGGCGCAAGCUAUCGCUAAGAGAUGGACCCGCGGUGCAUUAGCUAGUUGGUAGGGUAAAGGCCUACCAAGGCGAUGAUGCAUAGCCGACCUGAGAGGGUGAUCGGCCACAUUGGGACUGAGACACGGCCCAAACUCCUACGGGAGGCAGCAGUAGGGAAUCUUCCGCAAUGGACGCAAGUCUGACGGAGCAACGCCGCGUGAGUGAAGAAGGUCUUCGGAUCGUAAAGCUCUGUUGUUAGAGAAGAACAGCGCAUAGAGUAACUGUUAUGCGUGUGACGGUAUCUAACCAGAAAGCCACGGCUAACUACGUGCCAGCAGCCGCGGUAAUACGUAGGUGGCGAGCGUUGUCCGGAUUUAUUGGGCGUAAAGGGAGUGUAGGCGGUCUUUUAAGUCUGAUGUGAAAGCCCACGGCUCAACCGUGGAGGGUCAUUGGAAACUGGGAGACUUGAGUGCAGAAGAGGAGAGCGGAAUUCCAUGUGUAGCGGUGAAAUGCGUAGAUAUAUGGAGGAACACCAGUGGCGAAGGCGGCUCUCUGGUCUGUAACUGACGCUGAGGCUCGAAAGCGUGGGGAGCAAACAGGAUUAGAUACCCUGGUAGUCCACGCCGUAAACG
rnacentral:rRNA from 1 species